GAAACGGAGAAAGAGCGUGCUGCAUGGGAGAUUGGUCAACUCGCUGUUUAAUUUUGCAGAGUGAUGGGGAACGCAUCACUGCUGAUAAGAAGCUCUCGAUGUUGAAACAUAGAAUGAGACAUUCGGCAUCACAUCUAUAACAGAACCAUCUCAGAGCUUCAUCAACCACGUGCUGCUUUCUCUGAAACAUUGCCAUUGUGACUCAGGAGCUUCUAGUCUAAAACGAAAAUAAAACAGUAAUGGGGAUGUGGAACCUGGUUCUUGGUUCAAUCUCUCUGUCUUCAAGAUUUACGGAUCCUUACAGCAAGAUUCCACAAGUGAGUGAGCGUGAACUGAAGCAUGAAUGAUAAAGAGCAGUGUGCUGUUUCUACCUCAACUCAGAGAUUCAACAGAAAGAGCAACUGGUCAGCAGCAAUUAGCAUGGAGACCCAGAUGGUCAGAGGAGACAAGUCAUCAGCUAUUUUAUUAAUUUAUCAAGGAAAUGUUUAACACGGAGAGGCAGUCUUCAGAAAUGUACCUAAAAUAUGUUAUUUUUCCAAUAGGCUAAUUUAAUUAAUUCCAACUGGAUUAACUUGAGCACAUUACCAUUGUUUACCUAAAGAGAACAGGUACAAUGAGUUCUAAUGUAGUGGAGUGAAGAGCACAAGACCAAAUCUUUAAAACCACAUGAAUUCAAGUAACAAGAAUUUAUAAUCUGAAUAUCUGAAUCAUCCCUCUCAGAGUAAAAAUGAUAAUAAACCUAUAAUACCC
rnacentral:lncRNA from 1 species